AGAGUUUGAUCAUGGCUCAGAUUGAACGCUGGCGGCAUGCCUAACACAUGCAAGUCGAACGCCCCGCAAGGGGAGUGGCAGACGGGUGAGUAACACGUGGGAACGUGCCCUUCGCUUCGGGAUAGCCUCGGGAAACUGGGAGUAAUACCGAAUACGCCGUAUUGGGAAAGAUAUAUCGGCGAAGGAUCGGCCCGCGUUGGAUUAGCUAGUUGGCGGUGUAAUGGACCACCAAGGCUACGAUCCAUAGCUGGUCUGAGAGGACGACCAGCCACACUGGGACUGAGACACGGCCCAGACUCCUACGGGAGGCAGCAGUGGGGAAUCUUGGACAAUGGGCGCAAGCCUGAUCCAGCCAUGCCGCGUGAGUGAAGAAGGCCUUAGGGUUGUAAAACUCUUUCGCCGGUGAAGAUAAUGACGGUAACCGGAGAAGAAGCCCCGGCUAACUUCGUG
rnacentral:rRNA from 1 species